GGGGGGGUUCCCGAUGGUGGAGCGUUGGGUGGGUGAGCCUUGACGCUGCAGGGAUGGGCGUUAUGGGGAAGGGGAUCCCGAGGGGUCAAGGGGAGCGGUUUGCCGGGACACCAUGGGGAUGGGCGGAGGGGUUCCCAACGUCGGCAGCAGCCGGGCAGAACGCCUUGCCCCGCCACCGAGGGGACGGGCAAAGCACACGGGGACCCCCAGAGCUUUUUCGGCGGGGCUUUGGGGCUGAGGUCGGGGGGUUGCCCGGUACCUAUGGUCGUGAUGACGGUGAUGGCGAAGUAGAAAGAGCCGGCGAAUUUCCACUGGACGCCGGCCUUGUGCGGCUUCAGCUUGAGGACGACCCACUCGAGCUCGCGGUAGCUCUCGGCGCUCAGGUUGUAUUUGCUCUUCAGCUCCUGGCUCUUCGCCUCCAGCCUCCUCCGCUCCGCCGUUUCCUCCUCGGAUUCGAGCGCGUCGAAGACGGCGGCUCCCACCAGCAGCCAGCUCUGCUCAGUGCCGGCGGAUGGCUCCGUUCCCUGAUGUGAUGGCUGCUGACACCGAGCUGUUCCUGACCUGUGAGCUGCUCUGCCUCUGCAGCAGCAGGGUGGCUGCAGUCCCUGAGGACGAGACACGGGUCUAGGGGGUGGGCAACCUCCUUCCCUCUUCGACAAACCCACCAGGGCAGCCAACAUGUGGUGUGGGGUGCAAGGACCCUCCCCAAUGCCCUCCCGUGCCCCAGAACAAACCCUGCCCAGCAGGAGCCGCGUGAUCCCUUAAAAACCCAAUGAAAACACCAAAACGGUUGUUCGUGCCAUCUGGAGCAAAAGAAAAUGGAAUUUUAAUUAAAAACUCAUGAGCUCGUUGCUAUAAAUACAUCGUCUUGUUGUAAGUUAUUCACCCACCAGGAACACAGAGGUCUGAUCCCGGGCACAGCCGGAGGAGCAGGGUUGUUUUCUCGUUGCUGUUUUGCCUUGCUUUGCUUGUCCCAGGGCUGCGGAGAGCAGCAGGACUCAUCCUGUAGCCCAUGGGGCUUUUAGAGGCAGACAGAGAAGUGUGGGGUCCUCUUCCCAAGUGCUCAUAUUGGAGCUCUUCCCAAAGAGGAGAUGCUGGGACAAGUGCUUGGAUCGAAGCAGCAGCACGGGGUGAGCAGCUGCCUUGAGGAAGCAGCAAAGGGAGGAAAGCUGUUAAUCCUGAAACCUAACGAUGGAGAUAGAGUGGCAGCAGGAAAGGAAAAGCUCUCUGACAGCAGCACUGUGUCGGAUCGAACGUUUCUGGCUCAGGAUCCUGUCUCAAUUUGUGGAGAACAAGGACAGCCCCAGAUUGGGAUGGAGCAAAGCAGACAGCC
rnacentral:lncRNA from 1 species